rnacentral:rRNA from 1 species
AACCUCCGCAAUGUGAGAAAUCGCGACGGGGGGAUCCCAAGUGCCAUUCUUAACGGGAUGGCUUUUCAUUAGUGUAAAGAGCUUUUGGAAUAAGAGCUGGGCAAGACCGGUGCCAGCCGCCGCGGUAACACCGGCAGCUCUAGUGGUAACAAUUUUUAUUGGGCCUAAAGCGUCCGUAGCCGGUUUAAUAAGUCUCUGGUGAAAUCCUGUAGCUUAACUGUGGGAAUUGCUGGAGAUACUAUUAGACUUGAGACCGGGAGAGGUUAGAGGUACUCCCAGGGUAGAGGUGAAAUUCUGUAAUCCUGGGAGGACCGCCUGUUGCGAAGGCGUCUAACUGGAACGGUUCUGACGGUGAGGGACGAAAGUUAGGGGCGCGAACCGGAUUAGAUACCCGGGUAGUCCUAACUGUAACGAUGCGGACUUGGUGUUGGGGUGGCUUUGAGCUGCUCCAGUGCCGAAGGGAAGCUGUAAGUCCGCCGCCUGGGAAGUACGGUCGCAAGACUGAAACUUAAAGGAAUU